rnacentral:rRNA from 1 species
UACGUAGGGGGCUAGCGUUGUCCGGAAUCAUUGGGCGUAAAGCGCGCGUAGGCGGCCCGGUAAGUCCGUUGUGAAAGUCAAAGGCUCAACCUUUGAAAGCCGAUGGAUACUGCCGGGCUAGAGUCCGGAAGAGGCGAGUGGAAUUCCUGGUGUAGCGGUGGAAUGCGCAGAUAUCAGGAGGAACACCGAUAGCGUAGGCAGCUCGCUGGGACGGUACUGACGCUAAGGCGCGAAAGCGUGGGGAGCGAACAGG